rnacentral:rRNA from 1 species
UUAUAUGGUCAAGAAGAGAAGCGCAAACGGUGGAUGCCUUGGCAGUAAGAGGCGAAGAAGGACGUGGAAUCCUGCGAAAAGCUAUGGGGAGCUGGAAACGAGCGUUGAGCCAUAGAUGUCCGAAUGGGGGAACCCGGCUGCAGCGAUGCGGUCAUUUGCAUUUGAAUACAUAGGAUGCAAAGGCGAACUCGGGGAACUGAAACAUCUAAGUACCCGAAGGAAAAGAAAUCAAGAGAGAUUCUCCAAGUAGCGGCGAGCGAACGGGGAGGAGCCUGGCGUGAUUUAUUAUUGAACUGAGUA